rnacentral:rRNA from 1 species
GUGGGUAGUUUGACUGGGGCGGUCUCCUCCCAAAGCGUAACGGAGGAGCACGAAGGUUAGCUAAUCCUGGUCGGACAUCAGGAGGUUAGUGCAAUGGCAUAAGCUAGCUUGACUGCGAGCGUGACGGCGCGAGCAGGUGCGAAAGCAGGUCAUAGUGAUCCGGUGGUUCUGAAUGGAAGGGCCAUCGCUCAACGGAUAAAAGGUACUCCGGGGAUAACAGGCUGAUACCGCCCAAGAGUUCAUAUCGACGGCGGUGUUUGGCACCUCGAUGUCGGCUCAUCACAUCCUGGGGCUGAAGUAGGUCCCAAGGGUAUGGCUGUUCGCCAUUUAAAGUGGUACGCGAGCUGGGUUUAGAACGUCGUGAGACAGUUCGGUCCCUAUCUGCCGUGGGCGCUGGAGAAUUGAGGGGGGCUGCUCCUAGUACGAGAGGACCGGAGUGGACGCAUCACUGGUGUUCGGGUUGUCAUGCCAAUGGCACUGCCCGGUAGCUAAAUGCGGAAGAGAUAAGUGCUGAAAGCAUCUAAGCACGAAACUUGCCCCGAGAUGAGUUCUCCCUGAGACUUUAAGUCUCCUGAAGGAACGUUGAAGACGACGACGUUGAUAGGCCGGGUGUGUAAGCGCAGCGAUGCGUUGAGCUAACCGGUACUAAUGAACCGUGAGG